AUUGAACGCUGGCGGCAGGCCUAACACAUGCAAGUCGAACGGAGCAGCAGACGCGUGAGUAAUGGCUAGGAAUCUGCCUGGUAGUGGGGGAUAACGUCCGCAAACGGGCGCUAAUACCGCUUACUAUCGGCUGCGCAUAGGUCGGAUUAGCUAGUUGGUGGGGUAGGGGCCUACCAAGGCGACGAUCCGUAACUGGUCUGAGAGGAUGAUCAGUCACACUGGAACUGAGACACGGUCCAGACUCCUACGGGAGGCAGCAGUGGGGAAUAUUGGACAAUGGGCGAAAGCCUGAUCCAGCCAUGCCGCGUGUGUGAAGAAGGCCUUCGGAUUGUAAAGCACUUUAAGUUGGGAGGCGUUACCCACAGAAUAAGCACCGGCUAACUUCGUGCCAGCAGCCGCGGUAAUUC
rnacentral:rRNA from 1 species